AUUGAACGCUGGCGGCAGGCCUAACACAUGCAAGUCGAACGGUAACAGGAAGAAGCUUGCUUCUUUGCUGACGAGUGGCGGACGGGUGAGUAAUGUCUGGGAAACUGCCUGAUGGAGGGGGAUAACUACUGGAAACGGUAGCUAAUACCGCAUAACGUCGCAAGACCAAAGAGGGGGACCUUCGGGCCCCUUGCCAUCGGCUGUGCCCAGAUGGGAUUAGCUAGUAGGUGGGGUAACGGCUCACCUAGGCGACGAUCCCUAGCUGGUCUGAGAGGAUGACCAGCCACACUGGAACUGAGACACGGUCCAGACUCCUACGGGAGGCAGCAGUGGGGAAUGUUGCACAAUGGGCGCAAGCCUGAUGCAGCCAUGCCGCGUGUAUGAAGAAGGCCUUCGGGUUGUAAAGUACUUUCAGCGGGGAGGAAGGGAGUAAAGUUAAUACCUUUGCUCAUUGACGUUACCCGCAGAAGAAGCACCGGCUAACUCCGUG
rnacentral:rRNA from 1 species